UCAUAGAGGCGGCGUCUAUGAUCUCAGAGACAUCGUCCACGAUUGCAAAGACAGUGGCCAGGAUCACGGAGACUUUGUCCAUAAUCUCAGAGACAUUGUCCGCGAUCACAGAGACGUAGUCCACGAUCACAGAGUGUCUUCGUACAAUGAAGAAGUCCUUUGAGACCAGGACAGAGGCCUCCAGGUGUCAGCACUUCAUCCACGACAUGGUCCACGAUCGGAGAGACAUUGUUGAGGAUGAGGGAGACAUCGUCCUCGAUCAGAGACAUUGUCCACGAUCGCUGAGACCUUGUCAAAGACGAGAGAGACGUUGUCCAUGAUCAGAGACAUUGUCCCAUGCUUCGUAGAGACCUUGCGAUAGAAUCGGCGGAGACGGGGGUCACCGAUUUGACGGCAUUGCCCGCGAUCAUGGAGACAUUGUUGAUGAUCAUAGAGGCGGCGUCUAUGAUCUCAGAGACAUCGUCCACGAUUGCAAAGACAGUGGCUAGGAUCACGGAGACUUUGUCCAUAAUCUCAGAGACAUUGUCCGCGAUCACAGAGACGUAGUCCACGAUCAUAGAGGGUCUUCGUACAAUGAAGAAGUUCUUUAUGACCAGGACAGGGGCCUCCAGGAGGAGAAGACGACAGCAGCUGAAAACAAAAGUGUUACAAAGCUGUUAAUUAGCUAAAAGACUCCCACCAUCUAACUGCUGUCAACAGUGCUGGUUUCCUGGUUUUCAAGUGAACACUGUUUUUCUCUACCAUCUGUAAUGUAGUCAUGGGCACAUUUUCCAAAAACUUUAUAAAGUACGUUUGAGAACAUUCAACGGCUUAUGAUACAACUAUUUAUUAACCGUAUCACAAAGAUGCUUCGUAGACGUGUUUAUCUUUGGAAAAUGUGCAACACAACUACAUUAACCCUAACCCUAACCAGCUCUAACAGUUGUUUCCUUGUGGUCAAAUAUCUGUCAUUAUCUUUGUUAAAUGUUGUCUGGAAUAAAAUUAUUAAGUGUCUUAAUAAACUUUUGAGUUGCAUUUCUCUAGUUUCUAACUAAAAUUAUAAAAAUCAUUUUAUUCCCUUUUUAAUUUUCAGACCUAUUUUACCUAUUUAAACUUUUAAACUUGAAAAUAUAUUUCUUUAGGUUUUAUAUUUCACUUUUAAAAGGUUUUACACUCAUUGUUCAGACAUAUAUUUU